rnacentral:lncRNA from 1 species
CCCUUAGCCUCUGUGGAACAACUGACAUUAUUUAACUGACCUAUUGGAAUAAAAGAAUGCUAUUGUAACAGUUAAAUAACUUUUUGCAUAAUAGUUGUCACUGAAGUUCAAAAGACUGUUUGAAGAUGAGAAAGCAGCUCAUCAUUGGUAGGGUUAGAAGUAGUAAAUCCACUAAGCCGUGGUCUCUUGAGCAGUCUAAGCUACAACACCCUUGGCUAGUGAAUUCUUGGCACUUAAAGCCAACAGGAAGCCAGAUCAGCUGUCCAGUUUCUGCAGGUGCACACUUAGCCAAAUAAAAAGAUGCCAACCACAUUCAUGGGAUCACUGAAAAAUAGUUUAUAAAAGCUAAAGGGCGAUCUUUGGGAAAUGAUAUUACCUAUACUAGAACCAUUGUCUAUACCAGCAUUGGACAAUAGCUCUGGGUAAGGAAAAAUAAUUUACUGAACCCUAAGGAUUCUUAAAUUAAUAUAUGAGUAGCUGGAGCGGGGUUGGUGGUGUCAAGGAAAGAAUGAGUAUACAGCUUAAUGCUCCAAUAUUAACAGACAAAACUGAAUUCCCAGAUAUGCACUGGCUAUGUCUACUUGAAUGUAUCAUAAACACCUGAAGUAUAUAUGUUCAAAGGAAUAUCAUAUUCCUGCUCAAAAACAGUGUCUCUUCCAAACAUCCAUGUCUCUAUUCUU